rnacentral:rRNA from 1 species
UACGAACCGUCCAAACGUUACUCGGAAUCACUGGGCUUAAAGGGUGCGUAGGCCGCGCGGAGGGUGGGAUGUGAAAUCCCCCGGCUCAACCGGGGAAUAGCGUCCCAAACCGCCGUGCUCGAGGGAGACAGAGGUGAGCGGAACUGAUGGUGGAGCGGUGAAAUGCGUUGAUAUCAUCAGGAACACCAGUGGCGAAGGCGGCUCACUGGGUCUUUCCUAACGCUGAGGCACGAAAGCGUGGGGAGCGAACAGG